CCUACGGGUGGCAGCAGUGGGGAAUAUUGCGCAAUGGGCGAAAGCCUGACGCAGCGACGCCGCGUGAGGGAUGAAGGUCCUCGGAUCGUAAACCUCUGUCAGCAGGGAAGAACGGUCACUGUGCUAAUCAGCAGUGAAUUGACGGUACCUGCAAAGGAAGCACCGGCUAACUCCGGGCCAGCAGCCGCGGUAAUACGGGGGGUGCGGACGUUACUCGGAAUUUCUGGGGGUAAAGCGCUCGUAGGCGGUAUGUUAAGGCAAGGGGGAAAUCCCCGCGCUCAACGUGGGAACUGCCUUUGAAACUGGCAAACUUGAGUGUGUGAGAGGAUAGUGGAAUUCCAGGUGUAGGAGUGAAAUCCGUAGAUAUCUGGAGGAACAUCAGUGGCGAAGGCGACUAUCUGGCACAUAACUGACGCUGAGGAGCGAAAGCGUGGGUAGCAAACAGGAUUAGAUACCCUUGUAGUC
rnacentral:rRNA from 1 species